rnacentral:rRNA from 1 species
GACGAACGCUGGCGGCGUGCUUAACACAUGCAAGUCGAGCGGUAAGGCCUCUUCGGGGGUACUCGAGCGGCGAACGGGUGAGUAACACGUGAGUAACCUGCCCUCAACUUCGGGAUAAGCCUGGGAAACUGGGUCUAAUACCGGAUAUGACUACUUCGGGCAUCCGAUGGUGGUGGAAAGUUUUUCGGUUGGGGAGUGGCGUCGCGGCCUAUCAGCUUGUUGGUGGGGUAA